rnacentral:rRNA from 1 species
UACGUAGGGUGCAAGCGUUAAUCGGAAUUACUGGGCGUAAAGGGUGCGCAGGCGGAUUUGUAAGUCUGAUGUGAAAUCCCCGGGCUCAACCUGGGAAUUGCAUUGGAGACUGCAAGGCUAGAAUCUGGCAGAGGGGGGUAGAAUUCCACGUGUAGCAGUGAAAUGCGUAGAGAUGUGGAGGAACACCGAUGGCGAAGGCAGCCCCCUGGGUCAAGAUUGACGCUCAUGCACGAAAGCGUGGGGAGCAAACAGG